CCUACGGGUGGCUGCAGUGAGGAAUAUUGCGCAAUGGGGGAAACCCUGACGCAGCGACGCCGCGUGAGUGAGGAAGGCCUUCGGGUCGUAAAGCUCUGUCAAGAGGAAAGAAGUGUACAAUGGCUAAUACCUGUUGUAUUUGACGGUACCUCUAAAGGAAGCACCGGCUAACUCCGUGCCAGCAGCCGCGGUAAUACGGAGGGUGCAAGCGUUGUUCGGAAUCACUGGGCGUAAAGGGCGCGUAGGCGGCUGGGUAAGUCAGAUGUGAAAGCCCACGGCUUAACUGUGGAAGUGCAUUUGAAACUGUCAGGCUUGAGUACCAGAGGGGAAAGUGGAAUUCCCGGUGUAGAGGUGAAAUUCGUAGAUAUCGGGAGGAAUACCGGUGGAGAAGUCGGUCUACUGGGGUGCACCAGACGCUGAGGCCCGAAAGCUAGGGGAGCAAACCGGAUUAGAUACCCUGGU
rnacentral:rRNA from 1 species